GAACCAAUGUCCAACAUUAUUUUCUCUCAAAUGGUUAACCGCUCUUCUUCCUGGCCAUUAACCAAGACUCAUCAGUUUUAAGCUUUUUCAUAUGUUUAGGCUCAAUUUCCUCCCCUUGGAGACAAAAAACCAUGUUAUUACCCACAUUUCUAAUUGAAGACGUGUAAUUAUACCUUUAAGGGUCCACUAGAUUUUGAUCAAUAGGGUGAUUUUUAACAAUUCUCCAAGAUUUAGAAAAUUGUUGAUUUUUGUGUCACGAUUAGAUGGCUUUUUGCAUGCUUUAUCUUUGUUAUGAGUCUUGAGAGAUUUGAUCUUUAACUUGAUAUUAUUUAUUAUAUUAAUUUCUGGUAGCACUACUAUCAUCAUCAUCAUCAUCAAUGUUCUCUGGUUUAAAAAUCAAUUUCAUCAAAUUCAACAUGUUAUAGACUUUUCAAUAGUUUUAAAGUUAUUUAAUUAUAGACUCUAUAAGCUUUGUUAUUAGUAGAAAUCCAAAACAUAUUCCUUUAUAAGAUUUAGUAUCUAACUUAUCCAAAUUAUCUUGUGGUCAUGUAGAAUAAAACAUUUACACCCAAAUACUUUUAAAUAACUAAUAUUGGGUGUUCUUCUUUUCCACAACUCUUAGGAGUCUUUCAAGUUUGAUCUAUGACUACACAACUUAUAAUAUAACAUGCUGUAUUUACAGCUUCAGCCCAAAAAUACUUAGGUAAACUAUGUUCAUUUAACAUGGUCUAAGCCUUUCUCGAAAAGAUCUAUUUUACGUUCAAUAACUCCAUUUUUGUUUAGUUUGUUUCUAUGUGGCAGAGAAGUUGUUGUGAAAAUCCUUGAUCAUCACAAUAUUUUUUAUCAAUUCUUAAUUAUAAAAUUCUCUUCUCUACCUCUAUCACUACGAAUAUGGUGAUAGUGCAACCCCUAUUUCAUUUUGUGCCUUUUUAUAUAAAAUUUUGCAAAUGCAAUGUGGUCUUCAUUUUUGUGAGUAAGGAAUAUACCCAUGUAAAAACGUGAAAAUCAUCAACAUACAAAUGCAUAUAAUUUUUUCACCCAAGACCUAGCAACCCUAUUUGGCCAACAAUCUAUUGCAGCAUUUGAAGUGGUCUAAAUGUGGAAUUAUUUCUUCUUUGGAAAGCAGUUUGAUGUUGCUUCCCUAGUUGACAUGCAUCACAAAUUUUAAAUCUUUAACAAACUGAUUUUAGGUAACUUUGACACUCAUGCUUAUUCAAUUUAUGAAGUAAUCCAUACAAGCGGUCCUAAUCUCGAUGCCAUAACCCAACUAUUUUCUUUAUAGCCGCAGACUUUAACAUCUUGACUAACUAGACUAUCAAGAGUCAAAGGUGUAUAUGUGUUCAUGUCUAGAUUCUGUAAAUAAUAUUUUAUUAUUAAGACAUGCGUAACUAUGCAUUGAUUUUUAUCAAAUAUAACCUUAUUAGAUUAUACUUAACGCCAUCAACAAGUAAAUAACAUUUCAAUGCAGAUGAAGUAGAGUAAUUGUUUAAUAUUUCCAAAACUCCAAUAAUUUUAAACCUCUUGAAUUAUCACUAAAAUGUGACAAAUCCUCCAUGCUUGGUGUGAAAGAUGAAAGCUUUGGAUUUGUCUCCUUUCAUAUGUCUUGAGCACGCACUAUCCUAAACCAUUUAUAUCCGAAGCUCCCAUAUGACUUAAGGCAUACCUCAUCUCCUUUUUGCCAUUACGGCAAAAACUAGCCAUCUUUAUUUGCCGCUCUCUUCUUGUUCCCCUUUGAUUCGCUUCCUUCUCUGAAUCAAUCAUCCUCAGUUACCUUUUAUGGCUUUUCUUUUGAAUUUCUUUCCUUCCUUCUUAAGGCGAGGGCAAUCUGAUUUAUAGUGUCCAGCUUGUGGCACUCGAAGCAAUUGGAGGAUCCUUUUGCUUGGUUCGCCGUAAGGAAUCUCUUUCCUUAUACUUCCUUAUUGAAUGUUUUCUUUUCUCCUUUCUCAUAACUUUUUUGAAUCGUUUUUGUGAAAUACCAUUCUUUAUCGUCGUCACUUUCCUCUUCUUCUUUCUUCCUCACUUUCUUGAUGAGAGAAUUUGAGUGCGAGACUUCUGUUUUUUUUUUUUUUUUGGGCUUUACUUUCUUUCUUCUCUUCCUUCAACAUGAUCUCAUAGGUCAUGAGUGAACCCAAAAGUUUAUCAAGACUCAUCGUUUGUGAGAUUCUAGCUUCUUCAAUCGCUGUGACUUUUGCACCCAAUGUCUUGGCAAGGACCUAAGAGUUUUUUCUCACAUUUUCCACAUUAGUAAUAACAUUUGCCAAGAGAUUUUAAUAAUUUAUAAUAUUAGUAAUCUAUUAAACAUUUCAGAAAUAGAUUCUUCAAUUUCAUACAAAAUAAUUCAUACUCAUGAACUAACCUACGGAUUUUUUAGAUUCUUUUACUUGAUUUUGUACCUUCAUAGUCACUUCAAGUUACCCAUAUUUACUUUGCGAUUCGCAGCAGAGAUUCGAUAAAUUCAUUGCAUCUAAAGCACCAUAUAAUAUUUAAUUACUUUAGCAGUAAGAUGAUUAAGCGUGAAUCAUCUUAUCCCAUUCUUCCUCAAUUUUUUAAUGACUUUUUGCCUUAUCAACUAUUUUGUGGGAAUAUAGGGAACCAUCCCUAAUAAUUUCAAGUCCUCAUAAUCCAAAUAUUGAAUGUAAUUCUCAUCCUAUUCCUCCAUUAUGUAUAAUGAUUCCCUUAAAUAAAGGAGGCCUAUUUGAGGAGUGGCCCUUCGGCUAAGAUCAUUCCAAUUGUUGCCCCUGAAAUCAACCCUAGAGGAGGGGUGAUAGGUUUGUUGACAAACUUUUUCUUAAUAAAAAUUAUACUGAAUUAAGAGUUUAAAUAAUUAAGAACAGUAUAAUGUAAAGAUAUAAAUGAGCACAAUAAUAAAGAGAUAGGGAGAGAGAUUCAACUCGAUCAAACUCGGCGAUUUAUAGUGUUCGGUCUAUCUGACCUAGUCCACUCCCCAAGCACAAACCACUUGAGAAUUUUAAUCCAUAAUCGCAAACACCUUACUGAUGGAGUCAAACCUUGACACCUCAAGAUCACACCAACUCUCUCACAAGGUGGAAAAAUCCCCUCACACUCACAAGGGUCACUACCAAAACCCUCAGGGUCACCUAACCUCUUGAUACAAUCAACUGUUGAUCAGGAUUUGAGAUUUCUUCACAAUAACAAUUCUUCUUUUGAGAGGAUAUACAAUGAAAGCUUUAACAAUGAUAUCUCCUCACUAGAACUCCUUGUACAAAUUACCUGAAAAGCUUAAAUGAAAUUGAGAAGUAUGCUCGGGAAUUCUUAAGCUUUUUUUUUUUUUUUUUUUUUUUGUUUUUUUUUUCACUUGAUUGUCUUAUGAAAUGAAAGGUAAGUAUAGUAUUUUAUAGGCUUUAGCAGAAUAUAACCGUUGGAGAGAAUUUAAAUUUGCUAGCCAAUUUUUAAUUUGAAAUCAAAUUUUCAAAAAUCAAAAUUGUUACUAUCCAAAUUUUUAAAAGUUGAAACUACAUUUUCAAAUUCAGAAAAUGUUUCUACCAAUUUUUUAAAGUUGCAACCAUAUUUUUCAAAAGUCAGAAAUUGUUGCUAUCCAAAUUUUUCAAAUUCAGAAAUUGGUUGCUAGCAUAUUUUUUUUAAAUGUGGAAUAAAUUUUUCAAAGUCAGAAUUGUUGCUAAGCCAUUUUUCAAACUUGAAAUCAAAUUUUCAAAAUCAAAUUAUUCUUAUAUUAGCCCAUUUUUCAAAAUGUAAUUAAUUUUCAAAGAUAAAUUAUUGCUAGGCACAUUUUUUAAGACUUUAAAUUUUAAAUACAUUUUUUAUUUUUAAAAUGCAUGAAGGAUAUUAAGUCAUUGUAGAGUCUCAGAAUUUAACCAUACAAGAGCGUUACAAAUCCCUAAUAAAAGUUCUUCAUUCUUGAGAUCUUUAGUAUCUUGAAGGCUUCUUACUUUACAGUCCAAUAUCUAUCUUCGAUUAUUUUUGAUCCUUGAGAAUGUGUGGGCUUGAUGUUUCUUCUUGCAACUAUCAUACUGGAAUUAAAUACAUUAGAGAAAUAAGAUAGAAUUUUGUUGUCCAUCAAAUAUUUGCAACAUAAUCGGAUUGACGCAUAGGGCUAACAAUCUCCAUCUUUUUGAUGAUGACAAUUAUGAUAUAAAUUUUAAACCAUUGGAAGAAUAACUAUUACUGAUCAAACCUUGUGUAAAUCACUGAGAUAAUGCAUUUUUAUUAUUAACUUCAUUAUAUGGAAAUACAAAUUUUUUGUAUAUCCUUAUUUCUUUCUCCCCCUCUUUGACAUCAACACAAAGGUAUACUGUAUAAGCCCCCUGCGAAGAUGCGUCCCUUUUUUCAUGAUGAAGUUAUCUUAACGAUAAAUAUGAUCGAAGCUUGCUAAUAUGAACAUUAAAUCCAGGAAGGUGAGGCAGUAAUCAAGGAAAUAUAUGAUUAGACGCCUUAUAAUCAGUUGUGCUUUCUCUAUUCUAAUCAACAGAUUUUAUCAUGGGAAAAAUCCAUGAAUGCAAGAAGAAAAAUACUUCAUCUUAAAAACAUGAUCAGGACAUGAUCAGAAUAGUCUUGCUUCUGUUGUUUUGUGAAUCAAGUUGUGAUGUUGCAUCUUUCUUACUUUUAGAAUUUACAACUAUAUGAACUAGGUUGCGAUGCUACAGAUCUUUCUCUUAAGAAGUGAUUUAGGGCUGAAACUAAGGAAGAUUGGAACUUUCACCAACGUUUUCUUCAAUCAACACAGUUGGCACUUCUCUCCCUGCUCCAUCUUGAGGGGGCAUAAUAGAGAGUAUGAUUUCAGUUGUUUCCUUAUCAGAUUCUAUUAUUUUCAAUUCUUCCUUAUCAGAAUGUAUUAUUCAAAUGUACAUAACUAUCUUCUUUCAUAGAUAUAUGAUUCAGUUUGUAACACCUUCCUAGUUUGGUAGGAUUUUUUCCUUUUUUUCAACCAUUCUUUGUUAUCUCCUGGUGUAUUUUAAGAUUGAUAGUCAAUAAUAAAUGAUAAGUUUUGUUUAUUAUGUAUCCUGCGUGAGUUCAAGUAUAGA
rnacentral:lncRNA from 1 species